GAUGAACGCUGGCGGCGUGCCUAAUACAUGCAAGUCGAGCGAUUCUCUUCGGAGAAGAGCGGCGGACGGGUGAGUAACGCGUGGGUAACCUGCCCUGUACACACGGAUAACAUACCGAAAGGUAUGCUAAUACGAGAUAACAUAAGAAAUUCGCAUGUUUUUCUUAUCAAAGCUCCGGCGGUACAGGAUGGACCCGCGUCUGAUUAGCUAGUUGGUGAGGUAAUGGCUCACCAAGGCGACGAUCAGUAGCCGACCUGAGAGGGUGAUCGGGCACAUGGGAACUGAGACACGGUCCAAACUCCUACGGGAGGCAGCAGUGGGGAAUAUUGCACAAUGGGCGAAAGCCUGAUGCAGCAACGCCGCGUGAGCGAUGAAGGCCUUCGGGUCGUAAAGCUCUGUCCUCAAGGAAGAUAAUGACGGUACUUGAGGAGGAAGCCCCGGCUAACUACGUGCCAGCCGCCGCGGUAA
rnacentral:rRNA from 1 species